rnacentral:rRNA from 1 species
GAGGAAUAUUGGUCAAUGGACGGAAGUCUGAACCAGCCAAGUAGCGUGCAGGAUGACGGCCCUAUGGGUUGUAAACUGCUUUUGUAUGGGGAUAAAGUUAGGGACGUGUCCCUAUUUGCAGGUACCAUACGAAUAAGGACCGGCUAAUUCCGUGCCAGCAGCCGCGGUAAUACGGAAGGUCCAGGCGUUAUCCGGAUUUAUUGGGUUUAAAGGGAGCGUAGGCUGGAGAUUAAGUGUGUUGUGAAAUGUAGACGCUCAACGUCUGAAUUGCAGCGCAUACUGGUUUCCUUGAGUACGCACAACGUUGGCAGAAUUCGUCGUGUAGCGGUGAAAUGCUUAGAUAUGACGAAGAACUCCGAUUGCGAAGGCAGCUGACGGGAGCGCAACUGACGCUUAAGCUCGAAGGUGCGGGUAUCAAACAGGAUUAGAUACCCUGGUAGUCCGCACAGUAAACGAUGGAUGCCCGCUGUUGGUACCUGGUAUCAGCGGCUAAGCGAAAGCAUUAAGCAUCCCACCUGGGGAGUACGCCGGCAACGGUG